rnacentral:rRNA from 1 species
GGUAGCAUAAUCACUAGGGGUUUAAUUGGAACCUGGAAUGAAGGGUCGGACAAAAGAAAAACUGUCUUAAUAGUAGGAGUUGAAGUUUACUUUUAAGUGAAAAGGCUUAAAUAUUUCAGAGGGACGAUAAGACCCUAUAAAGCUUUAUAAAUAAUUCAAAUUUAUUUAAUUUAAAGUAUAAAAAUUAGUUUUGAUUAUUUUAUUUCGUUGGGGCGACGCGAGUAUAAUUGUUAUUAACUGCUUGAAAAUGGUACUUUAAAUGGUAGAGUUGUUAGUUGAUGAUCCUUUUUAAAGAUUAAAAGAUUAAGUUACUUUAGGGAUAACAGCGUUAUUUCUUUUGAGAGUUCAUAUCGAAAAAGAAGAUUGCGACCUCGAUGUUGAAUUAAGGUGUCUAUAUAAUGUAGCCGUUAUAUAAGAGGGUCUGUUCGACCUUUAAAUUUUUACAUGAUUUGAGUUC